UGGUGUAUUAGCACUGUCCAUGCCGUGAUGUGCUACUGAGCAGUGUAAUUAAGCUACUACGCAGUUAGUGUCUUGUGUAGAUACACCCCCUGUGCUGUAUUAAUGUUCAUCUUGUGUUUUGUCUAAGUUCUGAUUUAGCAUUUGGGCUCCAGAACACUGCUCUGCAAGGCUUAAAAGAAAGUUAUUUGGGACAAGAAAAUGGCAGCUUAGAGAAUGAAAAGCAGAUGGUAACUUGAAUGCACAUAUCUCUGAGCAAAUACCCUACUUUCAUGUGUGAAAAAAGCAAGAGGGUGUUUGUAACACUGAUAUUAAUGCAAAUGGUGAUGAACAUUUACUUUUCAACUGAUACUGCAAAAGUGAAGUCUUCCUGCAGACUUGUGCAUAGGAGGUCCUGCCGAAAAUACUUAUAUAUAAUUUAACAAAAAGAGGCUUUUGUACUAAGAAAUUAUGGCUUAAAGCUUUCUGUUUGGGAAAAUUCCAGCCUUUGUGUUCAUAUCCCAGUUAUUACAGUAAAGACUUCCAAAUGGGAGAUAUUUUAGAAGCAAGCAGCACGUGACUGAUAAAGGUGCCAUGCUUAUUUUUCUUAAUGCAAUGGUAUGCUUUGACUUUGAGGAGGAAUUUUAAAAGGUUCUAAAUGAGAUGGUGCAAACAAACACAUUCUUACAACAUUUAUGUAAAAUGUUAAGAAAAAGAAGGAUAGACAAUGCUUAAAAAUAUGCCCAAGAACUAUGAUAAUAGUCUUGCAAGCAUGCAUCUUAUAGCACCACAACUUUUUAAAAGUCCAGCUGAAAUAGAUGCAUCAGGGUCUGUAAUAUAAGUUAAUAAAAUAAUACAGAAUCAAAGAAGAUUUUUGUUUGAAACACUUUGAAAACAGUUUGCUAAUUAACUGAAAUACUGUAUUAUCUAUUCUAUUUAGUUGCCUAUUCAACAACUUUUAAGGAAAAAGUGUGUCUGGAGAACCUAUAUGUUGAUAUGUGAUACGAAGUAAUAUACCUUGGCUCUGAAUUUGCUACUAGAAUAUUUUUUUCUGUCAUUGUAUUAAUAAUUGUAUGUUUGGAUUGAUAAUGCUAAUAGAAAGAAUUUUUUUUCAAAAUCACAGAAGUUCAUUGAAUAACAUUUUGAAAGACCUGGGGAGACAAUGGAAGAAUCAAAAAGAUGUUACAGGAUCUACCAUCUGGGACAUCUACAAGAGAAAGUGAAGUUUCAAGAAGUUCCCUGGAGCCCUACUUUAGUAAGAAGGAAAGUUACUGACUUACAGCCUGGUGUCAUCUGCAAAUGUGCUGAGGGUGCACACCAUCCCAUCUGCCAGAUCACUGAUGAAGAUGUUGAACAAAACUAGCCCCAGGACCGACCCCUGGGGCACUCCUUGUGGAAGAAUCAUCUUCCAGCUGCCAGCUUUCAGGUUUUUUUUCCUUUUCUUUGUCUUGGUCUUCUU